rnacentral:lncRNA from 1 species
CUGCAUAUGUAAGAAGAAAACAAGACAACAUUUAGGUUUCCUUGCUGGAAAGCAGAGAUAACAAACCUGUAAAUUGAAUAAGCAUCUUAAAUGAGUGGCUCAGUGCCUUCCCAGGAUCCCUUGCUUUCACCAAAAAAGAAGAGCUAAAUUGCAUUGCACUACACACCUCUCGCUAUAAACCUGAAAUUAGUACCGAGGACAGUGUAAUUGACGUAGUCAAUGAUUCAACAUGAAAUUCUCUAUUCCCUCACCAAGACUAAAAGGUAAAAUAAAUAAUACAAGAGACACAAAAAAGAAUGACAUCAAUAUAUAGAAAAUCAAGUAGUUUAAACAAUUUUUUUAAACACAUUGGCAAUUAUUAGUAAAUUUAAAUGUUCUUGGCAAGAGAUCAUGCUAUCCUAACAAAGACAUUUGAAAGCCAACUUCUAUGGUUUAGAAACUUGAAAAAACCAGCUUUAUCCAAGACAUAGAGAAUAUCAUUAUUGCUCAAGUAACAGAAACCAUGUGCAACAAAGUCCUUCAUCUCCAGCUUCUAUUAAUGGUUCAGGCUGAAAUAAAAUAAAAAUAAAAAUAAUAGCAGGAGGAAGAAAUUGGAUCAUAAAUUCAGUAAAUAUAAUAUUUCAUUCCACACUUCUAUAACUUACCUCAUGAAUCAAGACAUGCUUUACUGCAAUGCGAGAUUAAUAUAACACGAAUUGUAACCCUACUAGAAGACAAACCAAAUAAAUAUAUGAGAUAGUUCUAGAGCAAUAAUACUAAGUAUUCAUCAUUACAUUGAAAACUCAAUUUGUAUAAACAUCUAACUAGCUUCAAAGUAUACAAAAUUGCUAAAGACUGCAAAGUAUUACGAUAGUGGAAUUUGCAUAGAUGCAUACCUUAAUUCUCUACAAACGACAUCAACUUUCUAAACAAAACAAACUUCCUGAGGAUUCCAAUACCAUACUUCAACUUUCUAAAUAAUAUCAACAUCAAAUUUCUAUAUAUUAAAAAGGACGAUACCAGAGCAUACAUAAUACAUUUGCUGUUCAAUUCUGCCAAAAUCUUAGUCCUCUUAGAAUAAAAGAGAUAUCAAACACCAAACACCAACACUAAAAUUUUUCUUAGAGAAAAGGUAAUUAAAGGGAGAAUUUCAAUUCAUCAAAUACCAGUUAGAAUUCGAUAUAUAUCGCGAACCGAAAAUAAGUAAAAAUUCUCCCUGCUCAAGCUGUCGACCAACUGUAGUUGCUGCCCCCCUUUCGCUGCCAAAAUUGGUAACGCUAUUACCUCCUUUGGCCACAUCAGCCGCUUGUCGUUUGGUCGGAUCGGCACCGUGCACACCUGAAGUGUCGACCGCCAAAUGAUCUGCCGCUUGAACUAUAUAUCCACUUCGCAAUCUGCCAUCUUGCCUUCUUCAAAGCACAAACCCUUCCCCCUUUCACCAAUUACAUAUGUAAUAGGAUGAAAAUAAAGAUUUUGGCUGUGGCGUAAAUUGAAUUGAUAA